GCGUGGGAGCGCGCGGCCGCCUGUCCGCCGCGGCCCUGCACGCGCGCACUUCGGGAAGCGGUUUUCGGAGCUCCGAAGGGCUUUCGGGGCGUCCCACGGUGUGACUGACUCUUCAGGUGUUUGCACUGAGUCUUCGCGUCUCUUUCAUGGCCCAAUGUUAUUACAGCGUGCUUUCCCUGUACGCUGCUUCAGAGCCUUUCCAGAAAUUGACAACACUUGGAUUGAGGUGCUAUUAUUUCCCUCAAUUUUACGGAUGAAUUAACUGAAGCUGGAAGGUUUGAUCUGACAUCGCCAUUUAAUCUUACUGGAAUUCAGUACCUUUCAAACAGUGGAAGAACAAUCUAAGGAUAUAUUAUAGCAAGAAGUCUAUUUGCUAUACAUUAAUUCUGCCCCCCCCCCGAGAAAUUUGCCCUCACUGUAGCAACAGUGGAAGCCAGAAGACAAUGAAGCAAUGUCUUCAAAAUUCUGAAGGAAAAUCAUUUCCAAGAAUUAUAUACCCAGCCAAACUAUCAAGUAAGAGUGAAGGUAGAAGAGAGAUGUUUUCAGGCAUGCAAAAUCUCAAAAACAAUUGAUUUCCAAUGCACCACUUUUGAGAAGAGAGGGAGUAAGCCAAGAAAGAGGAAGACAUGGGACUUUGGGAAAUAGAGAUGUGACACAGGAGGGAAGAAUCCAGGAGCGAUGGUGAAGAGAGGUUCAGAGGAGAUUGCUGUACAGCGGGCCAAAAGGCCACCAGUCUCCAUGGGAUCAGGUCACAGGAUUCAAGGAGACAUCUUUAAGAAGAUCAAAGUCACUAGAGUUUCCUUGGAUGGAACUGGAUUCCAAGAUUAUGGCACCCUUGAAGAGAAGAGACUGAUGCCGAGUCAUAGUGAUGAAACACCCAACAGAGACAAGAGCCAAAUACGGUCAGCUUCAUGAUGAUGCUGGAGAAGCGGUGGAGGCUGUGGCCUCAACCUCAGUAUGGACCCACGGUGGCCGAAGAUUGGGCAGAAGAAGUGGCUGCCUUCUGGUAAUGCUCUUAGCAUUUUGCAAUUAAUCACAAUAUCAUAUUUAACUCCUAGAGGACAGUAGGGUGGAGAAUCAGUCAGCCCCAUGACACAAUGAAGCAUAAGCCUAAAUGAUUAACCAGAAAAUACAUGUCUCUGACUCCCCGUCUCAGAAACAGAAGAUGCUAAGUGUCAUCAUAUAUAUAUGUAACAUACAUGAUACAUAUAUGAUUCUGUGCAAACUUCUUAUUAACUUUUAAUAGAUAUUUUAUAUCUAGAUUCCCCAGAAGAAUACGAAAUUUUACUUAUUAUCAGAUCUGUUCACUAGUUGCAACAAAAUGCAGGUGCUAUUUUGUUACUAUGAUUUUUUUUUUGAAGCCAGAGGCUAUUAUAGUAUAAAACACACGUGACCCAAUGAGAUGAGAUUCUUUACCGAAAUCCCUUGCUGAGUGUUGUAAGGGUGAGCGUGGGGAGCAGGGUCGGGGUUUGGGGUUUGUACGAUUACGUAUCUGAUGGCUUCCGAAAGAAUGAAACCUCAAAUACUAGGCUAAUAUCGAGUUUAAGAAUUGCUUCAGUGGUAGAAAUUUAAAAAUCUAAUAUUUUAUGCGAAAGUUUAAGGAGGAAGAAAUUUGAAUAAAGAGCAAUUAAUCCAUAGUUUAGGAACAGACCGUGAGCUAGGAGCUCUCCUAGAGAUGGGAAAGUAACAGCCUUGCAGGCGGAGCAUUUGUUUCUUGAUCACGUUUGACAUUCAGCUCUUGCCAGGUCUAUAUUUAGAACACGGCAAACUCAGUGCCUAGACGUGAAUACAGAGGUAGGUGGAAUCCGGCACUCUGAGAUUUAUGUGUUUGUGCAUUUAUUUUAGGGGAAAAGAGGGUCUAUUUCAGAUUACCUGUCAUCACUCGUGAAGACUUGCCUGUUGAAAACAAGUCUCCGUGUUUGUGUUUUCUCUCUGUAUCACAAUCUAGUCAAGUGAUUGUUCAACCGUCUGUACCAGGCAAAUUAAAUAAAUUUAUUGAAAUUACUA